GUAGUCUCGCACAGAUGCAUAUCAAUAAGCGGAGGAAAAGAAACUAACAAGGAUUCCCCUAGUAACGGCGAGUGAAGCGGGAAGAGCUCAAAUUUGAAAUCUUAAAGGGUUUCCCUUUACGAAUUGUAGUUUAAAGAAGUGUUUUCUGUUGAGGUUUUGGUAAAAGUUCUUUGGAAUAGGACAUCAUAGAGGGUGAGAAUCCCGUAUUUGACCUUUACUUUCAACUUUGUGAUACACUUUCAAAGAGUCGGAUUGUUUGGGAAUGCAGUCCAAAAUGGGUGGUAAAUUUCAUCUAAAGCUAAAUAUUGGCGAGAGACCGAUAGCGAACAAGUACCGUGAGGGAAAGAUGAAAAGAACUUUGAAAAGAGAGUUAAACAGUACGUGAAAUUGUCAAAAGGGAAGCGUUUGACACCAGUGUUGUUUUUCUGAAAAUCAAUUAAAGAACUGUUUAUGCUAAGCUUGUUUAGACUUUAUCAGCUAACUGUUUAGUUUUGAGCUUUUCUUUAAUACACUUUUCAGUUAACAAGUCAACAUCAAUUUCUUUUGCUGUAAAAAAGCUUGAGGAAGGUGGCUUGAGAUUCGUCUUAAGUGUUUAUAGCCUCUUGCCUAUGCAGUCGGAGAGAUUGAGGUCUGCAGCGUAGAUCCUUCGGGGCUAAAUGCAUUUGUGCUAAGUUAUAGCAUUUUCAUAGACAACUUGUUGACUAUGAUUUGUCUUGUAGCUUACUCGCUUAUGUUAUUUUACCUACGCUUAGGAUGUUGAUCUGUAGUGCGUGCGC
rnacentral:rRNA from 1 species